AAACGUGAUGUCCAUCUGAUUCCUCGCCAAACAUGGACCACCAAAACUACAACCACAUAGACAAAGAAACAUCUGCCACCAUCAGAGAGACAGGCAAUGUACCCAUAACUGGUAAUUUUUUUUUUUUCCCUUUUCGUUUUCAAAUCUGAUAAUUGAAUAUAAUUUAGGUUUCAAAAGAGGGAUAAUCGUUCCGAUACAAACCAAAAGAAAAAUUUGCCACCAUUAGAGAGACAGACAAUGUACCCAUAACCAAUAAUUUUUUUUUUUUCCUUUUCGUUUUCAAAUCUAAGAAUUGAAUAUAAUUUAGGUUUCGAAAGAGGGAUAAUCAUUCCAGUACAAACCAAAAGAAAAAAAGACUAGGAUAGAGAGAGGGAGUUCACUUGGCUGUAUGCCUGCCAAUUCCUGAUCUCACACCACCAUCAAACUCGGUAAAAACCCAAAUGCCAUAUUUCCUGAUCAAAAGUUCAAACUCACUCUAACUUCCAUCUCUUCUCUGCAACUCCAUAUACACACAGAUUAAAACUGUGUGUUCCAAACCAAUAAAUAGAAUCUUCCUCUCAUAAAAUGUUUUUAUAAAAACAAAAACCCACUUAUCCAAAAAAAAAAAAAACACAAACACAAUCCCAAAAUCCCAAAUGCCGUAUUCCUGAUCGAAAGCUCGGACUCACUCUAACUUCCGUUUCUUCUCUGCAACUCCAAAUAAACACAGGUCAGAAUAGCAGGUUCAAUUCUCCUCUCUCAAAUUCUCUCUAUUUUGUGUCUAUUGCUUGCAUGUUCCAUUCCAAACCAACAAACGGAGGAAAAAAGAAAAUCCAAAAAAAAAAAAAAAAAAAAACCGUGAAAGCUUAAAAACUUUGUUUGUUCUCUGUAACAACAAACGAUUCAAACGCUAUCCCAUUCCUUCUCUGCAACAACAGACAAUUUAGAAGAUGACUUCGUGGCUCUAAUGCCGGGAAUUGAAGUUGCUCUCGAAUUAUGAAGUUCUUCUUUGGAAAGUGUUCGAUGAUUGUAUUAAGAGAGUUUGGUUGCAUAAAAGAAGGGGUGGUGUUUGUUUGUCCAUUGCUUCAAAAGGGUUAGCGAUCACCGGGAUUGAAGAUAUUGGAAUCAUAUCCCAACUAAAGAAUCUAGGAAAAUUUUAGAAGGGAAGGAAGAAAAGGUGGUGGAUGAACUUUUUGUGAUAGCAUGGAUGCUGUGCAAUUAAAGAAAUUAAUGGCUUUUCAAAUAACAGUACAAAUUGUCCGGUGUGAUGGCCAAAGAGGCCAUAUGUUUUGCUGCAAGUGAUGUCCUUCAAGAUAAACUUUGAUGGAUCAAUGUUUAAAGAACAAAGCACAUUGGGAGUGGGAAUUUUUAUACAAGAUGAUAAUUGGUAGCUCAUUGCCGCAUUAAGUUGCAAAGGGACAGCAAUAAUGGAUCUGGAGGAGGCAGAACUAGCAGCAGUUGUCCAGGCUAUUAAUUUUGCAAUUGGAAUAGGUGCAAGAGAUAUCAUCUUAGAGGGAGAUUUAGCAAGUUCUUUUGACAAGCUGUGAUCUGAGGAAGAAGAUAAUUCACACUGGGAGCUGUGGUGAAGGAAGCCAUAUUAAGAAUGAAUCUGAUCAAACCAUGGAAAGUAAAGCAAUUCUAGGUGAGAGGCGAAUCAGAAUGAGUAUUUAUUGGUGUGACUUGCUUAUUGAUUGGCUAAACACUAAUGUAAUGAAUAUGAAUAGUAUUUAAUGCAAGUUAUCUUUGAUUAGUUUAAGGAAAAAAAAAAAAAAAAAA